rnacentral:rRNA from 1 species
GAUCGAGUUUGAUCCUGGCUCAGGAUGAGCGCUAGCGGCAGGCUUAACACAUGCAAGUCGAGGGGUAUAGUUCUUCGGAACUAGAGACCGGCGCACGGGUGCGUAACGCGUAUGCAAUCUACCUUUUACAGGGGAAUAGCCCAGAGAAAUUUGGAUUAAUACCUCAUAGUAUGUGAGAAUCGCAUGGUUUUUCACAUUAAAGUUCCAACGGUAAAAGAUGAGCAUGCGUCCCAUUAGCUAGAUGGUAA